CGCAUGAAACAAGCGCUGUACCACUGGGCUACGUCCCACCCUCCAGUGGAAGGUGUACUGUUGCCGUAUUUUAGGUGUCCCACCCUCCAGUGGAAGGUGUGCUGUUGCAGUGGAAGGUGUGCAGUUGCCGUAUUUUAGGUGUCCCACCCUCCAGUGGAAGGUGUGCUGUUGCAGUAUUUUAGGUGUCCCAUCCUCCAGUGGAAGGUGUGCUGUUGCAGUGGAAGGUGUGCUGUUGCCGUAUUUUAGGUGUCCCACCCUCCAGUGGAAGGUGUGCUGUUGCCGUAUUUUAGGUGUCCCGCUCUGCAGUGGAAGGUGUGCUGUUGCCGUAUUUUAGGUGUCCCACCCUCCAGUGGAAGGUGUGCUGUUGCAGUAUUUUAGGUGUCCCACCCUCCAGUGGAAGGUGUGCUGUUGCAGUGGAAGGUGUGCUGUUGCCGUAUUUUAGGUGUCCCGCCCUCCUGUGGAAGGUGUGCUGUUGCCGUAUUUUAGGUGUCCCACCCUCCAGUGGAAGGUGUGCUGUUGCCGUAUUUUAGGUGUCCCACCCUCCAGUGGAAUGUGUGCUGUUGCAGUGGAAGGUGUGCUGUUGCCGUAUUUUAGGUGUCCCACCCUCCAGUGGAAGGUGUGCUGUUGCCGUAUUUUAGGUGUCCCACCCUCCAGUGGAAGGUGUGCUGUUGCCGUAUUUUAGGUGUCCCGCCCUCCAGUGGAAGGUGUGCUGUUGCAGUAUUUUAGGUGUCCCACCCUCCAGUGGAAGGUGUGCUGUUGCAGUGGAAGGUGUGCUGUUGCCGUAUUUUAGGUGUCCCACCCUCCAGUGGAAGGUGUGCUGUUGCCGUAUUUUAGGUGUCCCACCCUCCAGUGGAAGGUGUGCUGUUGCCGUAUUUUAGGUGUCCCACCCUCCAGUGGAAGGUGCGCUAUUGCUGUAUUUUAGGUGUCCCGCCCUCCAGUGGAAGGUGUGCUGUUGCAGUAUUUUAGGUGUCCCACCCUCCAGUGGAAGGUGUGCUGUUGCCGUAUUUUAGGUGUCCCACCCUCCAGUGGAAGGUGUGCUGUUGCCGUAUUUUAGGUGUCCCGCCCUCCAGUGGAAGGUGUGCUGUUGCAGUAUUUUAGGUGUCCCACCCUCCAGUGGAAGGUGUGCUGUUGCAGUGGAAGGUGUGCUGUUGCCGUAUUUUAGGUGUCCCACCCUCCAGUGGAAGGUGUGCUGUUGCCGUAUUUUAGGUGUCCCACCCUCCAGUGGAAGGUGUGCUGUUGCCGUAUUUUAGGUGUCCCACCCUCCAGUGGAAGGUGCGCUAUUGCUGUAUUUUAGGUGUCCCGCCCUCCAGUGGAAGGUGUGCUGUUGCAGUAUUUUAGGUGUCCCACCCUCCAGUGGAAGGUGUGCUGUUGCCGUAUUUUAGGUGUCCCACCCUCCAGUGGAAGGUGUGCUGUUGCAGUGGAAGGUGUGCUGUUGACGUAUUUUAGGUGUCCCACCCUCCAGUGGAAGGUGUGCUGUUGCCGUAUUUUAGGUGUCCCGCCCUCCAGUGGAAGGUGUGCUGUUGCAGUAUUUUAGGUUCAGAGAUGAAAUUAAGCUGUUGAAUCGUGCACCUCAAAUGUGAGGGGCGGGACGUAGCUCAGUGGUAUAGCACUCACUUGCUGUGUGGUCAGUCUGGGAUUGAUCCCCAUCGGUGGGCCCACUGGGCUAUUAUAUCUCGUUCCAGCCAGUGCACC